UGAAGAGAAGUUCAGAGGGUUUUUUCCCAUGAAUAGAUGGCAGGCACCUGGGAGUUAUGAAUUUUAAAGUGAUCAUUUUCUUUCAGCCAUGCCGGACAAUGGGCAUCUCCUUUUGACUCACUUUCACAGCUUUGAGAGGCUCUCAGAUCAGCCACAUUCCAAUCGGACUGGAGUCAGAUCAGAGCUGUGCUGGACCGCAUCAAGGUCUCACACAGAAAGACAAGGAGCAGAUGGCCGGCACCAAUCUCUCCUCCCCCUUUCAGCGCGCAAAGGCAAGCAAUGUGGGAAAGCGUUCGCCCGGCAUUGCCUAUUGAUCCCUGAAUAGAACCACCGCAUGCCACCAGCCUGUAGGUAAAAUAUACUCAACAAGCUAUUGUGGAUUGCUUGGGAUUAACAGCCAAAUGAAAAGAAGUUACCAAGUUGCAGAUGCUACCAUGAUGCCAACGUGACUUCCCUGGGUAGAAGGCCUCACCAAUGUGUUCUGGAACUCCACCUCCCAGAAAGAGCCCUUUCUCUUAAAAGAAACAGGCUGGGGAUAUGGAUUAACCUAUCAAUGUCCAUGUCCAGUGGAGAAACAACUACAGAAGCCAGACCUCCCACCUUCUGCACCCCAUAAAGAUCAUUGGUUCAUACUCCCAGAAGGAUAAACGGAAUCUUCCAAUGGAGGGGAUGGGAUAUAGAACUCUGGUGGUGGGAAUUAUACCCCUCUUACCCCACUAUCUUGUCAAUCAUUACUAAAUUACUAAUAAAAUAAAUUUAAAAAUUAA